UACGUAGGGAGCAAGCGUUGUUCGGAUUUACUGGGCGUAAAGGGCGCGUAGGCGGCAUAUUAAGUCAUCUGUGAAAUCUCCGAGCUUAACUCGGAACUGUCAGCUGAUACUGAUGUGCUAGAGUGCGGAAGGGGCAAUCGGAAUUCUUGGUGUAGCGGUGAAAUGCGUAGAUAUCAAGAGGAACACCUGAGGUGAAGACGGGUUGCUGGGCCGACACUGACGCUGAGUGCGCGAAAGUCAGGGGAGCAAACGGG
rnacentral:rRNA from 1 species